GCGGGCGUAGUAUAGUGGUAGUACAGGGGUCUCCAAAACCUCUAGCGUGGGUUCGAUUCCCUCCGCCCGUGCACCA
rnacentral:tRNA from 4 species